rnacentral:rRNA from 1 species
GGCGAUUGGGCCGAGUUUGAUCAUGGCUCAGAGCGAACGCUGGCGGCAGGCCUAACACAUGCAAGUCGAGCGGCCGUAGCAAUACGGCAGCGGCAGACGGGAGAGUAACACGUGGGAACGCGCCCUUCGGUUCGGAAUAACUCAGGGAAACUUGAGCUAAUACCGGAUACGCCCUUACGGGGAAAGAUUCAUCGCCGAAGGAACGGCCCGCGUCCGAUUAGCUAGUUGGUGAGGUAAUGGCUCACCAAGGCAACGAUCGGUAGCUGGUCUAAGAGGAUGAUCAGCCUCACUGGGACUGAGACACGGCCCAGACUCCUACGGGAGGCAGCAGUGGGGAAUAUUGGACAAUGGGCGCAAGCCUGAUCCAGCCAUGCCGCGUGGAUGAUGAAGGCCCUAGGGUUGUAAAGUCCUUUCGGCGGGGAAGAUAAUGACGGUACCCGCAGAAGAAGCCCCGGCUAACUUCGUGCCAGCAGCCGCGGUAAUG